rnacentral:rRNA from 1 species
AGCUCCAAUAGCGUAUAUUAAAGUUGUUGUGGUUAAAAAGCUCGUAGUUGGAUCUCAACAGCCCUGGGUCGGUCUAGUUUGUCUAGUACUGACCUCUGAGUUGUGGUUUUGCCGGAGGUCGAGGGGUGCUCUUAAUCGAGUGUCCCCCGGUGCCGGCAGGUUUACUUUGAAAAAAUUAGAGUGUUCAAAGCAGGCUGUUAUGCCUGAAUAUUCGUGCAUGGAAUAAUAGAAUAGGAUGUCGAUCUUAUUUUGUUGGUUUUCGAGACUCGACAUAAUGAUUAAUAGGGACAGUCGGGGGCAUUUGUAUUGAGACGCUAGAGGUGAAAUUCUUGGACCGUCUCAAGACAAACUACUGCGAAAGCAUUUGCCAAGAAUGUUUUCA